CCCACCCCCAUGUUCCCCAUCCCCUUUACCUUGGCCUACAUUGUCCGUUUGGCAUGCCACUCGCCAGCGAGCUGACUGUGUUCUUUCCUCCUCUGUUCCGGCAUUGCUUAUCUCCCGCCUCCCCCGGAGCCCCGGCUUGAAGAGAAGCGCCCUGAUCUUAGCCAUCAUUGUCCCUUGUCCGCUGCUAUCUCCACAGCCCGGAACGUUGCUGAGCACACACGGAGGCGGCCCGACAGUAUCUGUGGAUGUGAGGAAGCGUCCGUCUCCCCCGCUGCAUUGCGACAGCCUUGAGGACAGGUCAAGGCCCUUGUUCCUUGUCUCUGUCAACCCUCUUCCAGGACACUUUCUGAUGCGCCUGGACAGGCCCCGCAGAGUGUUUGUGGGACGACACAGCCGUCCGACAUUGCCAUCCCACCUCCCGGCGUUCUAGAAGCUCUUCAUCCCAGCGAUCUCCCAGCCCCUCUGGACAAAGCAUCCCCAUCCCAGCAUUUUGAUAUUCUGAAUUGCUACAAAAAACCAUUGACAAUAUUUAAAGGAAAAAAACCAAAAAAACCCAAACACCUACAUAACAAAGUAUUCCUGUGGACUCUAAAAGACAAGCAGAUGGACACCAAGAAUCACACGAUCUAUCUGUAUACGGGUCUUAUCUGUACAAGAAUAAAGCUUUGAGCUAUUUUCCACUCUG